CCCCUUAGAUGUUGUGUUGAUUCUUGUGUUGUGCUUUCAGACUCGGCCCCCGCACUCCCUCCCUCCCCCCAUCUCUGAGGAGCCCUGUCGAAAGGUGACCCGGCCCCUGAGCUCUGCCGAGGAGACCCCGUCGAACCCCCGGAGAGGAGCUCUGGGAUUGGCCCGACAGCCUGUCACUCUAGUGAGGGUGUUGAGGGCCCUCCCGGACUUCAGGCGAAGACGGACCGGCCUGCUGCCCCAUCAGCCCCUGCUCCCCAACCGGUCGCUACAGCGACGCAAAACCCUGGCGGUCAUCUACUGCCGAGGAGGGCUGGGAGAGCUCCCAGACAGGACCCUGUCCACCAGUCUGCCCAGUGAGGGGCCCAGCGAGGGCGCCGCCCCCGCCCUCCCCUGCCCCCUCCUCCCCCGUGGAGGAGGAGCUGCAGACUCCCCUCCCCUCCUCUGUACGCGACCCCCCCGCUCCCGGCCCCUCCCCCCAGAGGACCCCGUGUCUUGUAGCCGCGGCGUUGCCGCGCCAACGGGCUGUCCUGAUCGACAGCGAGGCUCAGAGCAGCGUCUCAGGAGGUCAGGGGGCGGCGGCAUCAGCUGACCCCUCCCCGGCCCAGUCCUCCUCCCCGGGGGGGUGCCAGCCUACAGGAGGUCCUCUGCGCUCCAGCUGAAGGCCUGGAGCCCUUCAGCCCGGAGCCCCUCAGCCUGGAGCCUCCCCCCAGCCUGGAAACUCCCCCCAGCCUGGAGCCCAUCAGCCUGGAGCCUCCCAGUCUGGAGCCUCCCCCCAGCCUGGAACCUCUCAGCCUGGAGCCCCCGACCCUUGAGCCCCCCAGCCUGGAGCUCUGUCAGCAGGCUGCUCAGGAGUUGCGGCAGGCGGUGCAGCGGGCGCUGAACCUGCAGCGGCAGGUGGCCGGCGUGUGUGCGUCCGAGCGGCGUGUCGCCAUGGCGACUGUCCUCGAGGAUGCGCUGGUCUCCGCCCACAACGACCUCGGCGCCGUCUGCUUGUCUGACAGGAAGUGCAGCCCUGACUCCGCCCCUCCGCGACCGGAGGCUGACGAUAGGACGAUGGAGCUGCUGGAGAGAUACUCUGACCUUCUGCUGAACAUGACCCUUGGCAAAGUGGAGCAGCAAAGCAUCAUGGGAGUCGUGGACAACCCUGGGUCGCAUUAGCAGCAAAGCAUCAUGGGAAAUGUUGAUUCCCCUUGCUCGCAGCAAAGCAUCAUGGGAGAUGUUGACUCCCCUUGCUCGCAGCAAAGCAUCAUGGGAUAUGUUGACUUCCCUUGCUCGCAGCAAAGCAUCAUGGGAGAUGUCAACGUUCCUCGUCUUCAUGUAAAUGUUUUGUAUAAAGGUUUUAUAUUUAAGUAUUUAAUUAGAGUUUUGUGCAAAUAUCUGAAUUUUCCAAUGUUAUGGAUCAUUUUUAUACUUUUGGGAGAAAUGGAAAACAGGUUUUCAGUUGUCCCCAUAGCAACACGUCCUAUUAUGGGAUGUGCUGUGCGGUCAGCUCUGGACACGCCUCGAAAGUCAGUCAAUAUUAAAGUUUAAAAGUUUCAGCUUUGCUCUGAGUCGUGAAUAAAAGCAGCGUUCGAAUGACUUGGUCUCCUGUCCUCAUUGGCUAACAGGGUUAUGAUGUCACCAAUCUCAUUUCCUCACCAUUAAUGAAAGGAUUUGAUUUGUAGAAGGACUAGUUAACUAGUUUAAACUAGUUGUACUACAGUAGGACUAGUUUAAAAGAGGUCUAACAGUUGAAGAAAUUGUGUUGAUCAUUUUGAGGGUGCAGUA
ensembl:lncRNA